rnacentral:snoRNA from 2 species
CCCCUCUCAGGGUCACACCCGGAGAGUUUCCAGUCCUCUACCAGUCUCGGCUACGGGAGGGAGAGUCGAGCAGAGGAAGAACCAUUCCAUUCCUAGCUCGGGCAGUGGCUAGCGAGGGGAAGGCAAUCUGCUACAAGU